rnacentral:sRNA from 1 species
UCCAGUUGUAGUAUCCGGAGCGAAAGG